ACCCCUAGUGGCGCAGCGGUUAGCACGCGUUCCUGGAAAGGGUGAAACAAGGGUUCAAACCCGCCUAAGGUU